CGGGGGAGGCCGGUUCCUGGGCUGUGUCCCCGGCGCCCCGUGCUGCCGACCCUGCGCUGUUGGAUUCGCACUCCGGCUACGCAACUGCCU
rnacentral:pre_miRNA from 1 species